UUUCAUUUGUGUCCAUAUAAUAGAAAAAGUUUUCAGAAAACAUUUGGAAAACAAAGGAGUACAUCCGCUCUACCUGAAAUUAGUCUAGUGAUCAGUACAUCCGUUCUACCUGAAACCAGUCUAGUGAUCAGUACAUCCGCUCUACCUGAAACCAUUCUAGUGAUCAGUACAUCCGCUCUACCUGAAAUUAGUCUAGUGAUCAGUACAUCCGCUCUACCUGAAAUUAGUCUAGUGAUCAGUACAUCCGCUCUACCUGAAACCAGUAUAGUGAUCAGUACAUCCGCUCUACCUGAAACCAGUCUAGUGAUCAGUACAUCCGCUCUACCUAAAAUUAGUCCAGUGAUCAGUACGUCCGCUCUACCUGAAACCAGUCUAGUGAUCAAUACGUCUACUCUACCUGAAACCAAACUAGUGACCAAGUUUGGAGCACGUUUUCAGCAGGCAUUCGCAACGUAUACAAAGAAAUUAUAUGCACUAUAUAAUCGAAGUUGUUAAAAAACAGCAACGUUAUCAUUCAUAUCUUAGACAGCUUUACAAAAGACUUAACUUUGGAUUACAUUUCGUUUCGAAACAGCACAGCACGGUUAGGCUGUAGAAGUGCCAUGAUAUUUAGCAAAAAUACAUGAAAAUUUGAAGUAACCUAAGCGUACAUGACUUCUGGAAUGAAAUAUGUGAAACGCUACAGAGUGUCUGGACCCUCA